rnacentral:rRNA from 1 species
UACGAAGGGGGCUAGCGUUGUUCGGAAUUACUGGGCGUAAAGCGCACGUAGGCGGAUAUUUAAGUCAGGGGUGAAAUCCCAGAGCUCAACUCUGGAACUGCCUUUGAUACUGGGUAUCGUGAGUAUGGAAGAGGUGAGUGGAAUUCCGAGUGUAGAGGUGAAAUUCGUAGAUAUUCGGAGGAACACCAGUGGCGAAGGCGGCUCACUGGUCCAUUACUGACGCUGAGGUGCGAAAGCGUGGGGAGCAAACAGG